AAUCUGGCGUCCUCCGGGCGUCCGAGUUGUAAUCUAUAGAGACGUUUUCCGUGCCGGACCGUGUCCAAGUCCCUUGGAACAGGGUAUCAAAGAGGGUGACAAUCCCGUACUUGACACGACGACCGGUGCUCUGUGAUACGUUUUCUACGAGUCGAGUUGUUUGGGAAUGCAGCUCAAAAUGGGUGGUAAAUUCCAUCUAAAGCUAAAUAUAGGCGAGAGACCGAUAGCGAACAAGUACCGUGAGGGAAAGAUGAAAAGCACUUUGGAAAGAGAGUUAAACAGUAUGUGAAAUUGUUGAAAGGGAAACGAUUGAAGUCAGUCAUGUCCAUUGGAUUCAGCUGGUUCUGCCAGUGUAUUUCCUUUGGACGGGUCAACAUCAGUUUGAGCCGACGGAUAAUGGCAGAGGGAAUGUGGCACCCCCGGGUGUGUUAUAGCCCUUUGUCGCAUACGUCGGCCCAGACUGAGGAAUGCAGCUCGCCUUUAUGGCCGGGGUUCGCCCACGUACGAGCUUAGGAUGUUGGCAUAAUGGCUUUAAACGACCCGUCUUG
rnacentral:rRNA from 1 species